UUAGUCUUAUAAUUUAAGACUGGAAUGAAAGGGGUCAUCAAAAAAGUACUAUUUUUUAUUCACACACUCAAAUCUUACUUUUAAGUAAAAAGGCUUAAAUUUAAAUCAAAGACAAGAAGACCCUGUAAAUCUUCACAUCUCUUUAGUUUAAACCCUAAAUAAUGUUUAGCUGGGGCGGCAAAAAAAACAAACAUUUUCAAAUUUUAAUAAUAUUUAAAAUACCUAGAAUUUCUAAAAUUUAAACAAGAUACUUCAGGGAUAACAGUGUAAUGCUUCUAAAAAGACCCCAUUGACAAAAGCGUUUACAACCUCGAUGUUGGAUUAAUAGUCCUUUUUUGUGCAAAAGUAAAAAAAGGGGGUC
rnacentral:rRNA from 1 species